AUAUGUGCAGGUGAUCUUGCUGUGACAUCUGUCACCCCAUCGAUCACUAGGGUUAAUUUGGCUGAACUGGCUGGGUAGACAAGUGUCCCCUCCCUCCCUCACCACUCCGUGUGUAUCCCUCCCAAAACUGCAUGCUGACUCACACUCAGUGGAAGAGGAUAACCAUCCCCAACAGAUAAGGUCAAGGGUACACAAGUAGCUGCACUCCCCAAACAAGAACCUCCAAACAAGUUUUCAAGGUCCAUAACAUAUAGCCUAGAUGUAUGUGUUUCUAACUCAUGAUCAACAAUAAUUUGUACACAUUAAUUGAUUUU
ensembl:misc_RNA 7SK 7SK RNA